CAAAAGGCCCACUAGGUGGAGUGAAAUGGAUCAGGAGCAAUUAUGUUCAAUUUCACCUUUAAGUUUUCUCAAAAGGAGGAGCAUUAAGAAUCAGCCACCUUAGUACAUACUUAAAGGCUAGCACACAUGAUUUUUUCUGCUUGCACUUCAGGAGAAGAUAGUCAUUGGACAAAAGGUGGGUCAUUCUCACGUUGACCAAGUUUCUGUUCCAGUAUCACCCUCCCAGUUUGGGUUCCUCCAAUAGUAGAGCUUGAGACAAAGGUUUGGAUACCAGUAGUGUAUUUAGAAGGUGAUCCGAGGAUUGGAGAGAACAGGGAGAGUAAGAAGAGAAACAAAGAAGAACCAACAAAAAAGUGCCUUACCUGGGUUGCUGAUGUGGGCAGCAGGCACUCAAUUUCAUCUGGGUUUCCUGAGAGAUGUGCAGAAUACCUCCCAAAAUACAGAAGAUGGAACAUUAAUUCACACAAACUGAAAAGUUUGAAAAAAAAAUUAGUCUUUGCCCUUGAGAAAACUUUACUCUGAGUGAAAAUGAAAACAAGAAAUGCUUGUGACUUA
ensembl:lncRNA LINC02805 long intergenic non-protein coding RNA 2805